ACAAAACACUUAUUUGUCAAAAACACAACAAAAAACGAAGAAUACUGGGCAAUAGAAAUAGAGGAGAGCUUUUUAAAAAUUCACUUUUGGGAAAUAGGCAUUGGAACUAUUUCUGAUGACCUAAUUUGGCAUGUGAAGGUGCAACCUGCUGUUUUGCUUCAAAGAUAUAGUGUUGUCUGUAAGGAGCCCAAGGUACAGUCAACGGUCGGUGGUUUUUUUCAAAUCCCAAACUCACCGACAGCGUUGAAUGUUCCUCGGAGUCCUCUGAAGGCGGAAUCCUGGCCCUGGCAGCCCUUCAGCCUGUACCCACAUUUCAGGAGCAGUGAUACCACUGCUGAUGUAGGCUCUCACAUUCUUUUCUGGUUUUAAGUGGAGACUACUGCAUUGAUUUGUAUACACCAGAGAGUUAAUGAACUUCAGGAUUGUGAGACUGUAGUAUUUAUACAAGCACACUCAGAUGGAUGUUUGAGGAAAUGGCUUUGAAUGAUACUUUGUAAUUCUGAAAAUGUCAAAUAUCCCAUUUUAUAGUAGUAUAUGUUACUUAUUAAAGGGUGAGGGUAAGAAAGACCAUAAUAUAAUUCAGUACCCUACUAUGUGUUGAGAUUUGUUUAUUUUUAUCUCGUUAAAUUCUCAACAACUCACUUUUAUCUCAUGAGAAAACUGUCUUAGAGAAAUGAAGUAGGUUGUCCAAAGUUACACAGCCAAAAGCCAAGGUUACAAGCUAGAGCUUAAAUACUGGACUUUAUGAUUGCAAAGCUCACUGAUCAUACUGCCCCCUCUCUUUUUCACCACAAACUUGCUGUUGAAUUUCUGGGGAUAGAACCUUCUGUGAGAGUAAACAUCAUCAUCUUGUUUGCCUGUAAUAAUAGUUGGUAAAUCUGUAGAUGAAAUGUUUCAUAAAGGAAGAUGAAAAAAAUUAAUCUUUAUACUUUAUAAUCUCCCUAGCUGGGAUUACUAAAUUAUCGAAGAGGUUUAUAGUAGUCUGCAGGCUAUUUUCCAUAUUGAAAAAACAAAAAAUGAACCAAAACCCCCACUACCUAAUAUGAUAGAAAGCCUGCAUUUCUCAGUGAGUUCACAAUAGACUAAAAUGUCAGGUGUCUUUGGUUUUGGAGAAAGGGUAUCAGUGUAUUGUAGACAUACUGAUUAUUUUUAUUGGCUAUUGGCUGGGUCCUUGAUGAAAUAUUUGGAAAAUGAUUGAAUUAUAUGGAACUCUUCAGAAUGUGUAGGUUUUACCACUAUAAUAGGGGGGAUCCAGGAGUACUCAGUAGCAGAAGGGCUUACAGAACCACUGGCUGAAUUGAGGUUAAUCUUUAAUCAGAGAUAGUUAUUAUAUUUGCUUUAGGUUUACAUAUUAACUGUUGAGUGUUCUCAAAUUUAUUUUUAAAGCAGCCAAAUGGUACAUAUUUAAAAAAAAAUCAACCUCUGAGAAUUUUGUUUGAAUGUAAACUGUUUACAUUCUGCAUCCGUUUAAUUGUUCUACUCUCUAUGUCAAAACACUUCAGUUAGCCAGCUUUGUUGAGUUCUCAGUGAUAGGGCAAUAAAUGGUUUACAAAUGACAACAAAAAGCCAAACAACUGUUACUAUGUAGUAUUUAAAAACUCUUUCCUGGGUUUAUUUUAAAUGGUCUUCUCCUUGGCCUGAAGAGAUGCUAAUGCUUUAUACCAUUUGAAUAAAUAUUCAGACUUAAAAAAAUACUAAAUUCUGCUACCCUGAAUCAUUAGAUAUUUGCAAAAUACCAUUGCUUAAAUUUAUGGCAUUCUAAGAAUAUUUUUGAUAGACUUGAAAAACUAGAGAAGAGUGAAAGGGUGCUUCCUAUAAUUAAUUUUCAUGGCAAUAAAGCUUUUAGCAUCUUCAUUCCUUUAAUUUGCUUUAAGUCCUUAAUUUUAUUCUUUAUAAAAAAAUUAUUCUUUAUCAUAAAGUGAGUUUAAGGUACAUAUUGCAUCUUUUAAGUGAGUUUGGCUAUAGGGUUUAUGUACUCAAAGGUAAAGUCUAAGGGUUAAAAAGUUCAGGGUUAAAUUACCCUUAUAGAAGCUACAGAUUUAAUAAACAUUUAAUAAAUGUUUAGUGAUUUAGAUGGGUUUUGAGUUUGCCAGAACUCACCAAUCUAUCCUUUAUCGUUUCACUUACCUCCUUUCUUUUCUUUUGCAGAUGUGCUACAAAAUAUUGAAACCCACAUUGCUCCAACUUGGAGAUGUAGAUGUUUUCAUACUCCUCUUGAAGCCUCUUGAUAUACUUGAAACAAACAAACAAAAAACAAGAAGCAUAAACACAAUUAAAUAAUAUAUUUUAGCGGUUAGUAGCAUAGGAGUCACUGUCUUAGGUAGGUGACUGCCCAGACACUUCCCAGGCACUUUGCAGGGAGCAUCUCUGGAAGUGUUUAGGGAAAUGCUGCUAGCCUUGAUCACAAAGUUGUAAAGAUGACAGCAACAUGUCAGGAUGAAUUCAUGUUCCUCUUAGAACACUGAUAGUGUUCUUCAUUCCUUUACUAAUUCAGCAGCAGAAUCCUAAGAAUUCUUUCUCCUACAUACAGCCCUUGCCAUCAUGGAGCCCAGUGUCUAUCCAGGGAACUAAACAUAGACCCAUCUGAUGACAAAGAGGAUGUUUGCUAUCCUGGCAGAAUGAUAUAAUCCAUGUUAAAGAUAACAGAGAAAAUAAGUGUUAAUCCUGUUUAGAAGUAUGAGGAAAGGUACAUCUAAGUGUUCACAUUUGAUCUGGGCCUUGAAGGUUUAAUUGAAUUUUCACUAGACACAGAAGGAAAGAUAUUCCAGUAGAGGGAAAACUCUGCAUAAGAAACUAGAGGAAAGAAAGUUAAGAUAAUGGUGAGUAGUGAGAUUAAUCUCUCAGAGCUUCAGUAAAGUUGCAGUACAAAUAGCACUCAUCUUUUUUUGUACACAGUUGU